GGAGGGCAGGGAGCAAGGCUCCUUGUUCCUUGUGGGAAGGCUGUGCUUAGUGCUACCAGGCCCCGGUGCUGCCCUGCACUGGACCAGGGGUGACAAGGAUGAGCUGGUCUCAUUCUUCCCAGCUCCUGGUGCUGUGCUGGUGGCUGGGUUUGCACGGUGAGAUGGAUGGAGCAGGUUGGCUGACAGAGGGAGAUGCUGCCAUAACCAACAGCAGGCCGGCCUCGCUUGCGUUGUGCUCGCAGGAGCCUGUACGUGACCUGUUGCUCAGCUUCUGAAUGUGUGCUCGGAGGGUUUGUCAGUGCUCAGCUGAUGCACAGCAGCUUGCAAGCAGAGGGAGCUGCACUAGGUCGUCUAAGAAAGCUCCAGGAUGGGGACAACACUGAGCAUCCACAUGAGGAUAUCUGCUUGUUCAACCAGUCAUCCAGGCCACGUGAGCACUUAUUCCCAAGGAUCUUACUUCCAGCAACA